GACGAACGCUGGCGGCGUGCUUAACACAUGCAAGUCGAACGGCAAGGCCCUGCUUUUGUGGGGUUCUCGAGUGGCGAACGGGUGCGUAACACGUGAGUAACCUGCCCUUGACUUUGGGAUAACUUCAGGAAACUGGGGCUAAUACCGUAUAGGAGCUCCUGCUCCAUUGUGGGGGUUGGAAAGUUUCGGCGGUUGGGGAUGGAUUCGCGGCUUAUCAGCUUGUUGGUGGGGUAGUGGCUUACCAAGGCUUUGACGGGUAGCCGGCCUGAGAGGGUGAACGGGCACAUGGGGACUGAGAUACGGCACAGACGCGUACGGGAGGCAGCAGUGGGGAAUAUUGCACAGUGGGCGGAAGCGUGAUGCAGAAACGCCGGGGGCGGGAUGACGGCCUUCGGGUUGUAAACCGCUGUCGCCUGUGACGAAGCGGGAGUGACGGUAAUGGGUAAAGAAGCACCGGCUAACUACGUG
rnacentral:rRNA from 1 species